rnacentral:rRNA from 1 species
GACGUAGGGCGCGAGCGUUGUCCGGAUUUAUUGGGCGUAAAGGGCUCGUAGGCGGUUUGUCGCGUCGGGCGUGAAAACCAUGAGCUUAACUCAUGGCUUGCUUUCGAUACGGGCAGACUAGAGGCAUGCAGGGGAGAACGGAAUUCCUGGUGUAGCGGUGAAAUGCGCAGAUAUCAGGAGGAACACCGGUGGCGAAGGCGGUUCUCUGGGCAUGUCCUGACGCUGAGGAGCAAAAGUGUGGGGAGCGAACAGG